rnacentral:rRNA from 1 species
UGGGCGUAAGAGCUCGUAGGCGGUUUGUCGCGUCUGCUGUGAAAACGCGAGGUNNAACCUCGCGCCUGCAGUGGGUACGGGCAGACUAGAGUGUGGUAGGGGAGAUUGGAAUUCCUGGUGUAGCGGUGGAAUGCGCAGAUAUCAGGAGGAACACCGAUGGCGAAGGCAGAUCUCUGGGCCAUUACUGACGCUGAGGAGCGAAAGCGUGGGGAGCGAACAGGAUUAGAUACCCUGGUAGUCCACGCCGUAAACGUUGGGAACUAGAUGUGGGGUCCAUUCCACGGAUUCCGUGUCGCAGCUAACGCAUUAAGUUCCCCGCCUGGGGAGUACGGCCGCAAGGCUAAAACUCAAAGGAAUUGACGGGGGCCCGCACAAGCGGCGGAGCAUGCGGAUUAAUUCGAUGCAACGCGAAGAACCUUACCAAGGCUUGACAUGCACCUGAAAAGGCUGGAAACAGUCUCCUCGCAAGACAGGUGCACAGGUGGUGCAUGGUUGUCGUCAGCUCGUGUCGUGAGAUGUUGGGUUAAGUCCCGCAACGAGCGCAACCCUCGUUCUAUGUUGCCAGCGCGUUAUGGCGGGAACUCAUAGGAGACUGCCGGGGUCAACUCGGAGGAAGGUGGGGAUGACGUCAAAUCAUCAUGCCCCUUAUGUCUUGGGCUUCACGCAUGCUACAAUGGCCGGUACAAAGGGCUGCAAUACCGUAAGGUGGAGCGAAUCCCAAAAAGCCGGUCUCAGUUCGGAUUGAGGUCUGCAACUCGACCUCAUGAAGUCGGAGUCGCUAGUAAUCGCA